rnacentral:rRNA from 1 species
CAGCAGCCGCGGUAAUACGUAGGGGGCAAGCGUUAUCCGGAAUAACUGGACGUAAAGGGUGCGCAGGUGGUUUAACAAGUUAGUGGUGAAAGGCAUAGGCUCAACCAAUGUAAGCCAUUAAAACUGUUUAACUUGAGUGCAGGAGAGGAAAGCGGAAUUCCCGGUGUAGCGGUGAAAUGCGUAGAUAUUGGGAGGAACACCAGUGGCGAAGGCGGCUUUCUGGACUGCAACUGACGCUGAGGCUCGAAAGCCAGGGGAGCGAACGGGAUUAGAUGCCCGGGUAGUCCCUGUCUCUUAUACA